GGCCGUCCGAGUUGUAACCUGGAGGAGCGCUUUCCGCGCCGGACCGUGUACAAGUCUCCUGGAACGGAGCGUCAUAGAGGGUGAGAAUCCCGUCCAUGACACGGACGCCCGGUGCUUUGUGAUUGCGCCCCCGAAGAGUCGCGUUGUUUGGGAAUGGGGGCGCAAAAUGGGUGGUAAAUUCCAUCUAAAGCUAAAUAUUGGCGAGAGACCGAUAGCGAACAAGUACCGUGAGGGAAAGAUGAAAAGCACUUUGGAAAGAGAGUUAAACAGUACGUGAAAUUGUUGAAAGGGAAACGCUUGAAGUCAGUCGCGUCGCACGGAACUCAGCCUGGCCUUGGCCUGGUGUACUUUCCGUGCGACGGGUCAACAUCAAUUUCGGGCGGCGGACAAGGGCGAGGGGAAUGUAGCGUCGCUUCGGCGGCGUGUUAUAGCCCCUUGUCGUAUACGCCGUGCGGGAUUGAGGACCGCAGCGCGCCCUUGUGGCCGGGGUUCGCCCACGUCACGCGCUUAGGAUGUUGGCAUAAUGGCUUUAAGCGACCCGUCUUGAAACACGGACCAAGGAGUCUAACAUGCUUGCGAGUGUUCGGGUGGAAAACCCUUGCGCGGAAUGAAAGUGAAAGUUGGGAGCCUCCGCGAGGGGGUGCACCGACGCCCGGCCCUGAAGUUCUCUGACGGUGCUGCGGUAGAGCAGGUGUGUUGGGACCCGAAAGAUGGUGAACUAUGCCUGAAUAGGGCGAAGCCAGAGGAAACUCUGGUGGAGGCUCGUAGCGAUUCUGACGUGCAAAUCGAUCGUCAAAUUUGGGUAUAGGGGCGAAAGACUAAUCGA
rnacentral:rRNA from 1 species